UAAGCGAGCUACUUCAAAAUAGCCAAAAAGAGCCAACCCAUCUCUGUAGCAAUAGAGUGGGAAAAUUUUCAAGUAGAAGUGAUAAGCCUAACGAGCCUAGAAAUAGCUGGUUAUUCAGGAAAAGAAUAUUAGUUCUACCUUAAAUUUUAUUGUGAUAUUAAACAAACCCAUAAAUUUAAGAGCUAUUCAAUUAAGGCACAGCUUAUUUGAAACAGGACACAACCUAAACAACAGGGUAAAACAUCAAUUAUCAUAUCAAGUGGGCCUGAAAGCAGCCACCUUUUAAAUAGCGUUAAAGCUUAUUAUACUUCACCUAGUAAAUACCAAAAAUUAAUAUGAACCCUCACCCAUUACUGAAUAAUUCCAUAAAUAUAUGGAAAAUAUCCUGCUGGAACUAGUAACAAGAAUAUGAACUUCUCUAAAAUGCAAGUGUGAACCAAAAUGGACCCACCACUGGUAAUUAACGAAAAUGAACCAAUUAUAGCAACUUAAACAAGAAAAAUCUAUAAAAAUUAUCGUCAACCUAACACUAGGGCAUUUCCAGAAAGAUUAAAAGAGGAAGAAGGAACUCGGCAAAUCUUAACCCCGCCUGUUUACCAAAAACAUCGCCUCUUGAUAAAUUAUAAGAGGUCCAGCCUGCCCAGUGAAAUAUUCAACGGCCGCGGUACCCUGACCGUGCGAAGGUAGCAUAAUCACUUGUUCUUUAAAUAAGGACUAGUAUCAAC
rnacentral:rRNA from 1 species